AGCAGCCGCGGUAAUACGGAGGGGGCUAGCGUUAUCCGGAGUUACUGGGCGUAAAGGGUGCGUAGGCGGUCUUUCAAGUCAGGAGUGAAAGGCUACGGCUCAACCGUAGUAAGCUCUUGAAACUGGGAGACUUGAGUGCAGGAGAGGAGGGUGGAAUUCCUAGUGUAGCGGUGAAAUGCGUAGAUAUUAGGAGGAACACCAGUUGCGAAGGCGGCUCUCUGGACUGUAACUGACGCUGAGGCACGAAAGCGUGGGGAGCAAACAGGAUUAGAUACCCUGGUAGUCCACGCUGUAAACGAUGAGUACUAGGUGUCGGGGGUUACCCCC
rnacentral:rRNA from 1 species